rnacentral:lncRNA from 1 species
UUCCUUUUAAAAUGUUUGUCUUGCAUAUUGCCCCCUCCCACAUUUGCUAGUGUUAUGUCUAAUACUGUAAUUCACGCUCUCUGUUGGUUUUGUGGGCCUUUGUUGUGCCCAGGGUUUGGCAUUUGACUAAGUAGGAAUUUGUUUCUAAACAACUUUGCAUUCACCUUGUAUGCCUACUUAUGAAUUAUAAAAAUAAAGUACAAGUGGAUUUCCACCGUACUAAGCAUAAUGUUUUAAUACAAGAAAUGUUGAAAUGUGAAGCUAUUUGGCAAAAGUUUUGACUCUUGUCAGCAGACUAUAUGACACUAAGUGUUAACUCAAGGUGGU